UUGCCAAAUUGGUUAAGAGCUGAAAAGGCCAUUUUCCGUCUAAGUACACGCGUGGGGCAAUGCAGACAGGAAGCUCCGUCCUCUCGUAACCCAUCGUUGGAAAAUAUGAGAGAAUCCGGCUGAAAGUAGUUUCUUCAGCCAUUUAAAGAUAUGAUCGAAAAGACUAGGAAUUGCAAACCAGUUCAACAUACUCACAAAUGUUGGAGAGGAGUGGUAGCUACAUUAUCUCUCAUGUUGACUAAAUAUUGUUGAGGCUAUAAAAGAUGGACUUUCUGGACCUUCACCUGCUAGGAAUUGAU